UACAGAGGUCUCAAGCGUUGUUCGGAUUCAUUGGGCGUAAAGGGUAUGUAGGUGGCGCCGUAAGUCGGGUGUGAAAUCUCGGGGCUUAACUCCGAAACUGCAUUCGAUACUGCGGUGCUUGAGGACUGGAGAGGAGACUGGAAUUCAUGGUGUAGCAGUGAAAUGCGUAGAGAUCAUGAGGAAGACCAGUGGCGAAGGCGGGUCUCUGGACAGUUCCUGACACUGAGACACGAAGGCCAGGGGAGCAAACGGG
rnacentral:rRNA from 1 species